CCUACGGAGUGCAGCAGUGAGGAAUAUUGGUCAAUGGACGAGAGUCUGAACCAGCCAAGUAGCGUGAAGGAUGACUGCCCUAUGGGUUGUAAACUUCUUUUAUAUGGGAAUAAAACGUUCCCCGUGUGGUCUUUUGUAUGUACCCUAUGAAUAAGGAUCGGCUAACUCCGUGCCAGCAGCCGCGGUAAUACGGAGGAUCCGAGCGUUAUCCGGAUUUUUUGGGUUUAAAGGGAGCGUAGGUGGAUUGUUAAGUCAGGUGUGAAAUUUUGCGGCUCAACCUUAAAAUUGCAGUUGAAACUGGCAGUCUUGAGUACAGUAGAGGUGGGCGGAAUUCGUGGUGUAGCGGUGAAAUGCUUAGAUAUAACGAAGAACUCCGAUUGCGAAGGCAGUUCACUGGACUGCAACUGACACUGAGGCUCGAAAGUGUGGGUAUCAAACAGGAUUAGAUACCCGAGUAGUC
rnacentral:rRNA from 1 species